rnacentral:tRNA from 1 species
GCGCGGACUGGACCGGCGCGGGCAGUCCGCCGGUCGGGCCGGUGACGGUGCAGUCGAUGCCGGCGGCGGUCAGCACGCCGUGCGCGCCC